rnacentral:rRNA from 1 species
UACAGAGGGGGCGAGCGUUAUUCGGAAUUAUUGGGCGUAAAGGGCGCGUAGGCGGCCUUUCAAGUGACGGGUGAAAUCCCUCGGCUUAACCGAGGAACUGCCUGUCAGACUGGAAGGCUUGAGACCGGGAGAGGUGAGUGGAAUUCCCAGUGUAGCGGUGAAAUGCGUAGAUAUUGGGAGGAACACCAGUGGCGAAGGCGGCUCACUGGACCGGUACUGACGCUGAGGAGCGAAAGCCAGGGGAGCAAACGGG